rnacentral:rRNA from 1 species
UGGGGAAUUUUGCACAAUGGGGGAAACCCUGAUGCAGCGACGCCGCGUGAUUUAGAAGGCCUUCGGGUUGUAAAAAUCUUUUGUAUAGGAAGAAAAUGACAGUACUAUACGAAUAAGGACCGGCUAAUUACGUGCCAGCAGCCGCGGUAAUACGUAAGGUCCGAGCGUUGUCCGGAAUCAUUGGGCGUAAAGGGUACGUAGGCGGGUAAGCAAGUUAGAAGUGAAAUCCUAUAGCUCAACUAUAGUAAGCUUUUAAAACUGCUUAUCUUGAGGUAUGGAAGGGAAAAUGGAAUUCCUAGUUUAACGGUGAAAUGCGCAGAUAUUAGGGGGAAUACCGGUGGCGAAGGCGACUUUCUGGCCAUAAUCUGACGCUGAGGUACGAAAGCGUGGGUAGCAAACAAG